UACGUAGGGACCGAGCGUUGUCCGGAAUCAUUGGGCGUAAAGAGCGUGUAGGCGGCCUGUUAAGUCUUGCGUGAAAUCUCGGGGCUCAACCCCGAGCGGUCGUGAGAAACUGGCAGGCUAGAGUGCGGGAGAGGAGAGUGGAAUUCCUGGUGUAGCGGUGAAAUGCGUAGAUAUCAAGUGGAACACCAGUGGCGAAGGCGAGUCCCUGGACAACACCUGACACUGAGGCACGAAAGCUAGGGGAGCAAACAGG
rnacentral:rRNA from 1 species